CGCGUAGGCGGCCUGGUAAGUCUGGAGUGAAAGUCCUCCUUUCAAGGGGGAAUUGCUUUGGAUACUGCUGGGCUUGAGUGCAGGAGAGGUAAGUGGAAUUCCCAGUGUAGCGGUGAAAUGCGUAGAGAUUGGGAGGAACACCAGUGGCGAAGGCGACUUACUGGACUGUAACUGACGCUGAGGCGCGAAAGUGUGGGGAGCAAACA
rnacentral:rRNA from 1 species